AGCGAACGCUGGCGGCAGGCCUAACACAUGCAAGUCGAACGACCUCUUCGUAGUUAGUGGCUCUCGCGUGUGUAGCGCGUCGGAACGUGCCUUUUUAUUCGGAAUUCCUCAUUUACACUUGUGCUAAUACCGAAUGUGCCCUUCUGGUGCCAGAUUUAUCGCGCUUAUAGCAGCCGGCGUUUGAUUAGCUUGUUGGUGUGGUAACGGCGCACCAAGGCUUCGAUCGUUAGCUGGUCUGAGAGGAAGACCAGCGACACUGGGACGGAGCAACGGUCCAGAAUAUUACGGGAGGCAGGAGAGGGGAAUCUAGCGAAAUGGGGGAAAGGAUGAAGCAGCCAUGCUGGGUGAAUGAUGAAGGUCUUAGGAUAGUGAAAUUGGUUCAUAGGGGACGAUAAUGACGGUACCCGGAGAAGAAGCCCCGGCUAACUUCGUG
rnacentral:rRNA from 1 species